GAUGAACGCUGGCGGCGUGCCUAAUACAUGCAAGUCGAGCGAACAGAUAAGGAGCUUGCUCCUUUGACGUUAGCGGCGGACGGGUGAGUAACACGUGGGUAACCUACCUAUAAGACUGGGAUAACUUCGGGAAACCGGAGCUAAUACCGGAUAAUAUUUCGAACCGCAUGGUUCGAUAGUGCAAGAUGGUUUUGCUAUCACUUAUAGAUGGACCCGCGCCGUAUUAGCUAGUUGGUAAGGUAACGGCUUACCAAGGCGACGAUACGUAGCCGACCUGAGAGGGUGAUCGGCCACACUGGAACUGAGACACGGUCCAGACUCCUACGGGAGGCAGCAGUAGGGAAUCUUCCGCAAUGGGCGAAAGCCUGACGGAGCAACGCCGCGUGAGUGAUGAAGGUCUUCGGAUCGAAAAACUCUGUUAUUAGGGAAGAACAUACGUGUAAGUAACUGUGCACGUCUUGACGGUACCUAAUCAGAAAGCCACGGCUAACUACGUG
rnacentral:rRNA from 1 species